ACCAGGAUGGCCGAGUGGUUAAGGCGUUGGACUGAAGAUCCAAUGGACAUAUGUCCGCAUGGGUUCAAAGCCCACACCUGGUA